GAUGAACGCUGGCGGCAUGCCUAAUACAUGCAAGUCGAACGGUACCUUUGGAUACAGUGGCGAACGGGUGAGUAACACGUAGGGAACCUGGCCAUACCUGGGGGAUAAUUUCUGGAAACGGAAACUAAUACCGCAUGGGUUUUGCUUAAGCCUUUAAGCGAAAUGAAAGAAGCGCGAGACGCUUCGGGGAUGGAUGGUCCUGCGCUGCAUUAGCUGGCUGGUGAGGCAACGGCUCACCAGGGCGAUGAUGCAUAGCCGGCCUGAGAGGGCGGACGGCCACACUGGGACUGAGACACGGCCCAGACUCCUGCGGGAGGCAGCAGUAGGGAAUUUUCGUCAAUGGGGGCAACCCUGAACGAGCAAUGCCGCGUGAGCGAAGAAGGUCUUCGGAUUGUAAAGCUCAGUUGCCGGGGAAAAAGGAAGGAAAGAGGAAAUGCUUUCUU
rnacentral:rRNA from 1 species